GGGCAUUUAAAGAGUUUCGUACGAAACUGGCGUGAAUAGUGAAUACUACCGCGGAUGCAUUUAUUGGAGCCUGCGAUUCCUUCAUUGUUGGGCUCCUUCCCCAUUUCAAGUAUGGUUGGUCUGGCCAUAGCAAUGAUGCACAUGCCAUGACGCUUCAUUUUCUUUCUUCUCUUUCCCAGUUUCCCUUCAUAUAUAAUAUUCAUCCAAG
rnacentral:lncRNA from 1 species